AUAAUGAUACUUCCGCCCAGCCACAGACUCAAGCAAUGGGGGCGGCUCUAUGAGAACCAUAGUGGAGUGAGAGGCUCAUGA
rfam:Ruminococcus sp. CAG:579 genomic scaffold, scf139